rnacentral:lncRNA from 1 species
UAAAACAUCACUAAUAUUUUGUAUUUGUCCCUUAAGGGUGCAAUCAACAGUUUUUUACGUGACGUCAUUCUGUAACAGGGCAUGUAAUAGUGGACCCAUCAUGCAGAAGUCAGAUAUUCAUAGUUAUAUAGAUAUCUAUACAUCAAUGGAAAGAUAAUUCUAUGAACUUUCUGAAUAAAUAAAAAAAAAUCCAACAUCUCUUGUUUAAACAUGCA